rnacentral:rRNA from 1 species
CGACCAGACUCCUACGGGAGGCAGCAGUGGGGAAUAUUGCACAAUGGGCGAAAGCCUGAUGCAGCGACGCCGCGUGAGUGAAGAAGUAUUUCGGUAUGUAAAGCUCUAUCAGCAGGGAAGAAAAUGACGGUACCUGACUAAGAAGCCCCGGCUAACUACGUGCCAGCAGCCGCGGUAAUACGUAGGGGGCAAGCGUUAUCCGGAUUUACUGGGUGUAAAGGGAGCGUAGACGGUACGCCAAGUCUGAAGUGAAAUGCCGCAGCUUAACUGCGGAACUGCUUUGGAAACUGGCGGGCUGGAGUGCGGGAGGGGUAAGCGGAAUUCCUAGUGUAGCGGUGAAAUGCGUAGAUAUUAGGAGGAACACCGGUGGCGAAGGCGGCUUACUGGACCGUAACUGACGUUGAGGCUCGAAAGCGUGGGCAGCAAACAG